rnacentral:rRNA from 1 species
GAUGAACGCUGGCGGCGUGCUUAACACAUGCAAGUCGAACGAAGCACUUUACUACGAUUCCUUCGGGAUGACGGUUUAGUGACUGAGUGGCGGACGGGUGAGUAACGCGUGGGGAACCUGCCCCAUACCGGGGGAUAACAGCCGGAAACGGCUGCUAAUACCGCAUAAGCGCACAGUACCGCAUGGUACGGUGUGAAAAACUCCGGUGGUAUGGGAUGGACCCGCGUCUGAUUAGCCAGUUGGCGGGGUAACGGCCCACCAAAGCGACGAUCAGUAGCCGGCCUGAGAGGGCGACCGGCCACAUUGGGACUGAGACACGGCCCAGACUCCUACGGGAGGCAGCAGUGGGGAAUAUUGCACAAUGGGGGAAACCCUGAUGCAGCGACGCCGCGUGAGUGAGGAAGUAUUUCGGUAUGUAAAGCUCUAUCAGCAGGGAAGAAGAAAUGACG